ensembl:lncRNA
GCCAUCUGUAGUGGAGAUGCUGAGUCACAGCCUGAAGCAGUGAUUGAGCACCUGGUGGGAAGGCAGGGCCAACCCAGGGUAGCUCAGGUGUAUGCAAUGAACCUGAGUGACCUGAAGGGAUGGAGCCAGGAUCCACCCCUUCCCAGACCUCAUUUAAGGGUUGGCAGUGGAGAUGAGAGCAUCUCAUGCUGGAGAUCCCUGCCUAUCUGUGGUCUUCUGAAGAGCACUGUAAGUGGUCUCAGGGAAAAACGUCUGCCCACAGUGGCUCUCCCCUCUGCACUCAAACCCUCUGACAGGAUGGAUUGUUUUCCCCCCACAUACAUGAUUUAAGGGCUGCAACCAGAAGUUUCCAUUGUGCUUGCCCAUCUCCCACCUGGGAUGCUGGGUAUGGUCCAGUCCUUACCGAAGGUUGUCACCAAGCUCCUGCUUGGAUUGGCCAUUGGACUGACAGCAGGCAAAGAAGGAAUCAGGAGGAAUGCUGUUUAUUUGCUGGACUUCUGCAAACAAUUAAUAUGGCCUUGUCCUUUGCAUGAACCUGCUUUGGUAAGGAUCCUAUUCAUACCCAAUGAUUCCUUAAGAAAAGAAAGUUGCUUGCAAGCAGUCUGGCUCCUGUCUGCUCUAUGCUUGCAGGCUCCUGCUAUGGGAUAAGAGAGAUGCUCCCAGCUCUCGAGGGUUUUUGCACAGACCUUGUAGUGCAUAGACUGUAAAUGAAGCUAAGAAACAGGGAAUGGUGGGAAACUGCUCCUACUCAACAUGGCACCGGGUCAUGUCUUGCAGCUGCCUUCCUCAAAGAGGUAUCUGCCCCCAAAUCCAGUUUGUCUCAUGUCUGAUGCACGUGGAUGUUGCCAGAUAAUAAGUGCCAGAAUAGAGCCAGCCUGGUGAGAGCCUUGCAUUGAUGGACACGGAAAUAUUGCAAUUGGUGGAUGGAAGACAAAUGGACUAAAAGCAUCAAACUCCUUUACGCUCCCCAAGUAAGAAUACAGAUGGCUGGAUAUCUAAUUCUGUGGCUAGUUAAGGUCUGAGGGAAGCUGAUAGAUCUCCUGAGGGAUGAGCUGGGUUCCACUACUCUGCAGCAGGGUUCAGAUGGAGGAGGAUGCACAGAAAGCCUUUGGGCGCAGCAAGUCUUGAGGAAGCACAAAGGUAGCUUUGUCUGGAGUAUAUCAACCCUCUUCUUAAACAGCAAUUCUGACUCGAAGACAAAUGAAUGACACACUCACAACGAUAUGCUCCUCUCUAGGAAGGAAUCCACGAGCAUGCACUGGCCAUGCACAAGCUGGAGAGAGUAGCAACGUAGCUUUGGGGAGCUCUUCAUGGCAAGGAGAAUUAAUUGGGUUUGCUGAGUUGCUGAAGCCCAUGCUCUGCUGAAUGUGUGGCUCAUCAAGGAACAAGCAUCGAGGGAAGAUGCUGCCUACUACACAAGGAGGAUCUUAACACGAACAUAAUCAAACUUAAUUGCUCUGCUGAAGUGUUGAUUGAUCAUGAAGACCUCAGGAACAGAGCUUAGCUGUAAUUAAAUCAGCUCUAUUGUUGCUCCUGAAAUACCCAUUUGUUCCUUAGGGAAAGAUUCUGGUUGCUCAGGAUGCCCAUGGGGAGCAGAGCUGAACCCCACUGGGUCUUUGCACCAUAAAGACCCCCAUAAUAUACCUCCAGGAUGGGCUGGGCUUGGAGAUGGACUGGAUUACUUGAGCAGCACUAAUAGCUCCAUUAAUGAAUCCAAAAGGAGCAUUGGCUAGCUAUGGGCUUAACAAGAACCUUCUGCAGUCUCUGUCUCUAUGGCAUAAAGCCUUUGGGUUAGCAUUGCAGGAAUCCCUGAUAUUUUUUUGGGGACACGGGUGAGUGGGUAUGAUUGGGGUUGGACUUGAUGAUGACAGUGGUCACUUCCAACUUUAAUGAUUCUAUGACUCUAGGUGUUCUCCAAAGGUUUCUUUGGCCUUGGCCAAGGGAAAGCACAUUGGGAUUCAAGUUCCUUUGGGUCAUGCUCUGUUCUCCAGCUGCAAUGUGCCUCACAAAUACAUAGGGCAGCUUUUGGGGUCCUCACCACCUUGCUAAUUUCUAGUUUUCCUGGCUCAAAUCAGAGGGAAAUAUAUCUUUGUGUGUGUACCUGAUGCAAUCCUUUGCCUUUUAAAUGCAGGGCAGUGAUCCUUGCACACCUCAGGGCAGGAGCACAAAGCGCUGUGUCCCUUGGCUGCUCCUUGUGGGUGAGGAGGCAUCAAGUCAGUGCUGAGAUGGGUGCUGCUGCAUCCCUGCAGCAAGGAUGGGGGCUGUGGGUGAGGGCAGCCAGCAGUGCAGAUGCCAGCAGCUCCCGUUGCUAAGGCUGUGAGGGCUGAACCUUUGGAAAUUAGGUAAAAGGUCUGAACACAGCACUUUUUCCUCCCCCAGCAGCCCCUCUUCCUGCACGGUGCUGGAGGAAGGCAGCUGGGAGCAAGGAUUAACUCUCACCAUCCCAGGGGCUUUCCAGACACAUGGAGCAGCACUGUGCACCAUGCAUGGCAUUGCAGGGAUGGGAUGGAUGAGCACAUCUCUGAGGAGUGCAGGGCUGUGCAUCCCCCUCACCCUGCUGUGAUGAGCCAGAGAUGUUUCUAAGCGCUGCUGUAUCCUCUCUGGCCUCCAUAAUAAGGUCAGAUUUUAAGGGGCUUUGUUCUGGUGGAUGGAGCUGCUUUGGGAUGGGAUUUUAACAUCCUGGGUGGAUUUUGGCAUUCCUGCACUCACGUGCAUCCCUGGACAGACCCAUCAAGUUCCCUCUAUGUGCCCAAGGUGAUGAGCAAGGUUGGCACGCUAGUGAUGCUGGUGGCACUGUUAACAGGUGCCCACCCACAUGCUGAGACUCUCCAUGUCCCAGACCCAUGUGCACCCCACGGGUGCUCCUUGGCAAUCCCCUUAUGCUGCUGUACCCACCUAGGAUAUGGCACAGAGGUCCCCUGCUCAGCCAGCCUCCCUCACCCUCACUGUGGCACAGCCUGCAUCUCACUGGCACAGCUUCAGGAAGCUCAGCGGGGCAGGGGAAGCUCAACAAAAGGAGCUUUGUUCGUCCUUCCUCGCCCCAGCCUCAGUGUCACACCUACCAGGUGGAGUCACCUUCCCACGGAAGCACCUCCUGCAGUGCAGGGUGGCUGGGAGCCAGCCAGGCAGGAUGCAGCCCCAUCUCUGCCUGUCUCCCACCCUGUGCCUCUUUCCCAGAGCAGUGCAGCUGGAAGCUAAGGAAAGCACCACCCGUGUGCUAUUUUUUGCUCUUUACGCCCUGUUUGCAUGGGAAAGUUAGGAUGGGUAAACGAAAGGUGUUCAGCACUUGAAGUUUAAAGGGAAAGGAGUUAUCUCUGCCUGAGUCAGCUAGGAAACCCCCUAGCUGCUGUUGACACAAUGCUUCUUUGGGUCUGAGAUGGAGUGCUGCUUGGAAAAAGCAGAGCUGCCUGCAGGUGGUCACUCUAUGACAUAAAUCUCUGCUCAGCACAAGGGCUAGCUAUAGCUAGAGCAAAAUCAGACCACUUUUCCAAUAUCAUCUUGUUCUUUGCUUGCUUGACUCCCUGCCUGGAGAAAGCCCACCAUGGAAGGAACACCCUUGGAUACUGAACAUCUGCAGCUCCUAUAAAACAUCAGCUGGGGGCAUUGAAAAGGAAAGUGGAUGCCCAGCAGGGAGAGCAUUGCUGCCCAAGCCUUGCUUGGCUACUUCAGCUCAGCUGGGAAGCUGUGAGCUGGGGAGCAAGAACCAGAUGGUGCCCAUUCCAUGUCCAGGAGCCAAAAUGGGAUCCCACAGGGUCAUUCAUUGUGGAGCUGUUCAGAACCCAGGUUGUGUUGGUGCACGGAGUUGCCAGGCUUCUUGCAGCCAGUCAUGCUCCCCUGCCCACCCCAUAAGCAUCCUAUUCCCCCCUUGGGCAAGGAAAACAAUAUUUCUCCCUGUCCCUGCAGAGGAUGAUGAUGGGAAGGAUGUGGGGUGGAGUAAAAGUUAAUGAGGUGUCUCCCACUCUUUGAAUUCUCUCUUGCAACAUAGGGUUUGAUGGUUGGAAAGCAAUCUGGGAUCAGCAGAUGUCAGCAGCAUGGGGAAAAAUGCGACCAUGCAAAUGAAUGGUUGGCAGUCCUCGGUGAGUGCCAAGCCCAGCUGUGUGCCAGGAGGGAAGGCAGCCAUCCCGCACUGAAAGCAUUUCAAAGAGAGGACGGAGAUGGUGCCAGGAGAGGCAGCCACAUGGAGAGGUGGUAAAAAAUGGAGCCAGUUAAUCACCCUGCAUGUGUUAUCUAGCUGGAUGGAAAAUGGGCCGAAAAUAUCCUGUGUUUCAGAGCAACCGUGUAGGUUUCGGUGGUUCAUCCAGCU